rnacentral:rRNA from 1 species
ACCAGACUCCUACGGGAGGCAGCAGUGGGGAAUAUUGCACAAUGGGGGAAACCCUGAUGCAGCGACGCCGCGUGAGUGAAGAAGUAUUUCGGUAUGUAAAGCUCUAUCAGCAGGGAAGAAAAUGACGGUACCUGAUUAAGAAGCCCCGGCUAACUACGUGCCAGCAGCCGCGGUAAUACGUAGGGGGCAAGCGUUAUCCGGGAUUACUGGGUGUAAAGGGGGCGCAGGUGGCAGGGCAAGUCAGAUGUGAAAGCCCGGGGGUCAACCCCGGUAUUGCAUUUGAAACUGUCCGGCUAGAGUGCAGGAGAGGUAAGCGGAAUUCCUAGUGUAGCGGUGAAAUGCGUAGAUAUUAGGAGGAACACCAGUGGCGAAGGCGGCUUACUGGACUGUAACUGACACUGAGGCACGAAAGCGUGGGGAGCAAACAGGAUUAGAUACCCUGGUAUU